rnacentral:rRNA from 1 species
UGAUCCUGCCAGUUAGUCAUAUGCUUGUCUCAAGAUUAAGCCAUGCAUGUCUAAGUAUAAGCUUUUAUACAGUGAGACUGCGAAUGGCUCAUUAAAACAGUUAUAGUUUAUUUGCUAUUCGUUUAUAUGGAUAACCGUAGUAAUUCUAGAGCUAAUACAUGCAUUAUUCGCGACUCACGAAGCGUAAUAUUUAUUAGAUAAGCACCACGGGCUUCGGCUUGUGUGAGGAAUCAUAAUAACUGAGCGAACUACCAUCGGUAGCGAAGCAUUCAAGUUUCUGCCCUAUCAGCUUUCGAUGGUAGUGUAUUGGACUACCAUGGCGUUGACGGGUAACGGAGAAUUAGGGUUCGAUUCCGGAGAGGGAGCCUGAGAAACGGCUACCACAUCUAAGGAUGGCAGCAGGCGCGCAAAUUACCCAAUCCUAACGUCGUAGUCUUAACCAUAAAACUAUGCCGACUAGAGAUUGGAGGUGCAAUCUCAAUACUCCUUCAGCAUCUUAGGAGAAAUCAAAGUCUUUGGGUUCUGGGGGUAGUAUGGUCGCAAGACUGAAACUUAAAGGAAUUGACGGAAGGGCACCACAAGGUGUGGAGCCUGCGGCUUAAUUUGACUCAACACGGGGAAACUUACCAGGUCCAGACAUGGGAAGGAUUGACAGAUUGGAGAUCUUUCUUGAUUCCAUGGAUGGUGGUGCAUGGCCGUUCUUAGUUGGUGGAGUGAUUUGUCAGGUUAAUUCCGAUAACGAACGAGACCUCAACCUGCUAACUAGUUGCAGCUUCUUUCAAGUUGUAGACUUCUUAGAGGGACUAUAGGAUUUAACCUAAGGAAGUUUGAGGCAAUAACAGGUCUGUGAUGCCCUUAGAUGUCCCGGGCCGCACGCGCGCUACACUGAUGCAGGCACUAAGUCUCCAAUUUCGAAAGAUUUUGGGAACCUUCAAACUGCAUCGUGCUGGGGAUUGACACUUGUAAUUAUUUGUCAUCAACGAGGAAUACCUAGUAAGCGCAAGUCAUCAGCUUGCACUGAUUACGUCCCUGCCCUUUGUACACACCGCCCGUCGCUCCUACCGAUUGGGUGAUGCGGUGAGCCUUUCGGACGGGCGCUUCGGCGCCUGAAAGUUAUGCAAAUCUCAUCACUUAGAGGAAGGAGAAGUCGUAACAAGGUUUCCGUAGGUGAACCUGCAGAAGGAUCAA